UAUCUUAACACGAACACACGACGAUGUUAACAUGAUAAGGCUCAGACCAUAAUUCAGUUUCAUAAAAUAAAUGAUCGGCAUCUACAUACACUCAGUCUACACGGAGCGGGGUAAAUGAAAGUUCACUUCCUGUCAGGACUUUAUUGCAUAGCUGUCUCGGUUUCUCCAACCCAAGACAAACAUGACGGUUACUGAAGGCCCGGACGCUGAGGUGUCGGUCAUUGAUGGCUCAGACCACGACGACGGCGACGACGGAUAUAUGACGGUGGACAGCAGGGACCAGAUUCUUGAUCACGCCGACAGGGAGUCAGUCCACGUGGAAGUGAGAGGCGAAAGCCCGGAUGUACCGGAGGUGACGACAAGGGCGGCAAAGGCGCCCGACGGAGGUUGGGGUUGGUGUGUGGUCCUUGGAGCGCUUAUUAUGAGAACGGUGAUAGGUGGGUUUGGCCGCUCACACGGUCUGUUCUACCUGAGAUUCAAGGACCGAUAUGGCGGAACUGCGACCGAGACGGCACUGGUGACGUCACUUACAGGCUUCGUCCGCAUGUCAUCAGGUCCAUUCGUGAGUAUUCUCAGCGGCCGCUUCUCAUGCCGCUGGAUUACCGCCAUAGGGACUGUGGUCCUCAUGGCCGGCGUCGUCAUGACCGGAUAUUCCCCGAACCUGCUGUUCCUUUACUUCAGCUAUGGCAUCGUUGCAGGUCUCGGUAGAUCCUUGGCGAUGACGCCGUGUCCGAUUCUGCUGGGCUACUACUUCGAUAAGCGUAGGAGCCUCGCAUUCGGUAUUGCGUCUGCCGGUUUCAGCAUAGGAGGAUUUGCGAUCACUCCGCUGAUAGAACUACUUUUCCAGGAAUAUGGCUACUCUGGCGCAUUUCUCGUUCUCACUGCGUUUACCAUGAACAUUUUCGUAGCUGCAGCCUUGUUCAGACCAGUACAAGCCAAUAGCAAACGGGAGAAGUGUUCAAGACAGUCAGUGGAAUCAGAUGAAACAAAACAAGCCCUGAUUCAAACAGCAAUAGUGAAUAAUGAACUAGUGAAUAAUGAACUACGUCAAACUGAUGCUAUAGCCGUGAAUGGUUCUGCAGUGAAUGGACACGUUCAAGAGUCAACCAAUGUUCUCACGACGUGUGAUAGCAAUUCGACUACUUGUCAUCUCGCUAUUACUAAUUAUGAAAAUAUUGAAAUACCAAUGGAAGACAGGUCUGAAUCUGCAAAAACGGAUACUUUCUUUCCUAAAAUAAUUACAAAUGAGUUUGAUACAAGCAACGUGAACAAAUCAGUACCAAACGACGAAGUGACUAGUCAUAAAACGAGCCGUAAAAUAAGCGUAGAAAAAACAGCUUCAGAGGACGCUGAAAUAAUUGGAACCGAGACUAAAACUAUCAGUGAAACAUCUGAGAACGAGACUAAAACAAAAAAUGACAAUGACGGCAAGAAAAAGAAGCAAACAUGGAUGUCAUGGUCGAUUUUGAAGAACCCGAGGUUCAUGUGUUAUACGUUCGCCAUGUUUUGUUUCUCACUUCCGGCCUCCGGGACGUUCCUUCCGGCGUUGGCCAAAUCAAAAGGUUGCACUGAGAUUCAAGCAGCCACCAUACUAUCUAUAAGCGCCGGUUGUGACACGGUAAUACGUGUCAUCUCCGGGUUCGUCCUUGACCUCAAGUUUUUUCGGAACAAGCGCCCCCUGGUCUUUAACAUCGUCACUUUCUUCCAAGGCUCCGUGCUCUUCCUGUUUCCCCACAUGACCAGUUUCUCGGGGUUCGCCUGGCUAUCCGUUCUCGAGGGGACCUUCACGGGAAUUAAAAUGGCACAGUUUCAGUGGUGUACGGAAGAAACCCCCUCCGGAAGAAACCCCCUUCGCUAAAAACGGCAGGGCGGAAGAAACCCCCUUUCAUAGUUUGCAUACGCGGAAGAAACCCCCUCGCUAGUUUUGCAAAGGCGGAACAAACCCCCUUCGAGUUUUCAGACAGGCGGAAUAAACCCCCUUCCAUAGCGGAACAAACCCCCUUCCAGACGAUUUAGUUACAUUUAAACGCACGGUAAUUGAUUACAGAAAUUCACUUUAAUUUUCAGAAAGUUCUCGGGAAGCACGUUUUUUGCAUGAUUCAAUUUUUUUAAAAGACGAAUGCUUCGGUUAUUAUAGGAAAAUAUGUACGAAAUAUCUUCGUCACUAUCGGCUCUGGGUGCUAAUUUUGUGUGUUUGUUAUUUUUAUCAAUCAAGUACAAGUUAACGCAUAUAAAAAUGGUAUAAUCUCACUGAAACGCGUGCAAGACAAAUUCACACGAGCAUCUCAUCAUUAACAACUUGUGAACAAACGGCCGGUACACCUCUUUACUCAGCACAUAACAGUUUGGAAAUAGAUAUUCGCACCUGCAUUUAAUUAUAUAAAAGGUCCUUUAAUGUACCGGCUAGUUUUGAUAAUGAUUGGCGCCUUUGCGGCUCGUGUGAAGUUAUGUACAGUUUUUUUAAAUUACAUUUGCUCGAUUAAUUGGUAUGUAUAUGUAUACACAUCGUUGGUAUUUCGAAUAUAUCAAUAAUGGAGAUCAUCAAGAACAACAAGGGUGGGCAGAAGUUGUGUUACAUGGGGUACUGCUACACGAAGAAAGCAAAGUCAGCGGUAAGCAAGCGUUGGGAGUGUGACCAACGGGGUUCACAGAAAUGCCGUGCUAUUGCUACCACUGAUCUAGAGGUAAGUAAUAUUAUACCAUGUACUUAUACUAAAAAAUAAAUGAGUCUUUUUCUACAAAACCCAUGUAUUGCGAUUAUUUUUAUAUAAUAUUAAUUUUGCAUAAAAUUCCAAUUCGUCACAUCUAUAUUAGUCAUAAUUACAUUUUUAAAAAGGCUCGGACAAAUGAAUAAGUACUUGAUAUUAUAAGUUAAACGAUUGACCUGUUUCAUCGAUAUGUAUGCUUUAUGUUUCAGCUCACCGUAAUGAAGUCAGUGACAGAGCACACCCAUGCCGCCGACAUGUUCAAGGGAAAGACUUAAUACUUAGGAAGGGGAUUUAUUCCGCCUGUCUGAAAACACGAAGGGGGUUUAUUCCGCCUGUCUGAAAACUCGAAGGGGGUUUGUUCCGCGUAUGCAAAACUAGCGAGGGGGUUUCUUCCGCGUAUGCAAACUAUGAAAGGGGGUUUCUUCCGCCCUGCCGUUUUUAGCGAAGGGGGUUUCUUCCGAAAGGGGUUUAUUCCGGUAAUCGUUUCAGUUUCAACCAACUGUCGGACAACAGUAGGGUUGAAGGUCGUUUUGACACCUACCCUGUGUACUUGAGAAGUUGGCGACAUAGAGUGAUGUUAUUUAGAUACUACAUGUUGUGUAAGUUAUGCGUUGACAAAUACAGACGGUUCUGCUUGUAAUAGACAGUGUCCGCAAGAGGUUGACAUAAGAAAAUGGACGUCAACUAAGAAGAACGUGUAGCAUCACUUCAACUAACUAAGGCAGUGUGGUGUUACUAGACAUGCUGGGUGUGGACAAGUUCGCCAGCUCCCUGGCCGUGCAGUCGGCGGCACAGUGCUUAUCUAUUCUAGUGGGACCUACCAUUUCAGGUCGACUAAUUGACACU